CCUACGGGUGGCAGCAGUGAGGAAUAUUGGUCAAUGGGCGCGAGCCUGAACCAGCCAAGUCGCGUGAGGGAAGACGGCCCUAUGGAUUGUAAACCUCUUUUGUCGGGGAGUAAAAGACGCCACGCGUGGCGUUUCGAGAGUACCCGAAGAAAAAGCACCGGCUAACUCCGUGCCAGCAGCCGCGGUAAUACGUAGGGGGUAAGCGUUAUCCGGAUUUACUGGGUGUAAAGGGAGCGUAGACGGUGAUGUAAGCCUGGAGUGAAAGGCGGGGGCCCAACCCCCGGACUGCUCUGGAAACUAUGUGACUGGAGUGCGGGGGAGGUGAGCGGAAUUCCUGGUGUAGCGGUGAAAUGCGUAGAUAUUAGGAGGAACACCAGUGGCGAAGGCGGCUCACUGGACUGUAACUGACGUUGAGGCUCGAAGGCGUGGGGAGCAAACAGGAUUAGAUACCCUGGUAGUC
rnacentral:rRNA from 1 species